GCCGCGAUAAUUUGAUCGUGCAAAGGUAGCAUAAUAAUUAGUUUUUUAAUUGGGAACUGGAAUGAAAGGUCGAACGAGAAAAAGACUGUCUCAAUUUAAAUUUAUUUAGAAUUUUAUUUUUAAGUGAAAAAGCUUAAAUAAUUUUAAAAGACGAGAAGACCCUAUAGAGUUUUAUAUUUAUUAGUUUAUUUUUUAGUUUUGGGAUAUAAUUUUAAAAUUUAUUUAUAAAUAUUUGGUUGGGGUGAUUAAAAAAUUUAAUAAACUUUUUUUUUGUUAUAACAUAAAUUUAUGAUUGAUUGAUCCAUAUAUAAUGAUUAAAAGAUUAAAUUACCUUAGGGAUAAAA
rnacentral:rRNA from 1 species